rnacentral:lncRNA from 1 species
CCUACUAGAAACCGUUUGUACUUUAUGAUUGAAAGUAUUUUUGGAAGAUAUAACGAUGUAGUUGCAAUGAUUCUAAUCAAAAGAAUUGACUCCACGAUAAUUAAACAUUGGUUUUUUAAAGUUCUUAUAAUCAUAACUGAUGUUGGAUUUAAGCCAAUGGUAAUUUAGUAGAUGGCCAUUCAGUCAACCAAAAAAAUUUCAUGCACGAGUUAGGAAAUGGGAAACUUCCUUUAUUUAAUGAAAAUUAAUUAUGUCCCCUUUGUGAAAGAAUAUAUCCAUUAUUCGAUAUGGUUCAUAGAUUUAAGAAUUUUUAUAAUCUUAUAAGUAGGAAACAUUUUAUUUUUUGAUCAUUUGAUACUCACUAUGAAAUUUUAUACGUUCAUUAUGAUCAAGUUGUUUCUAUUUAUCAUCAAGAAAUGGGUAUUGGAAUUUAAUUUGCUCACCUGCUAAGCCAUGAAGUGUUGUUUCCUCAACCAAUCAAAAAAAAAAAAAGUAUCCCUUACAUUGAUUUUUUUUUUUUUUUUUUGCGACUCCACCAUCGAGGUUUUAGAACAUUUUUGAACUACAGAUAUUUCUUGUAAAGAUUAUUUGGAGACUGUAAUGCUCUUUCUGAUUUUUAAACUUUUCUGGAACUGUGUAAAUGUAAAUUAUUUUACAUCCAAUUUCAAAUUAAGAGAUGUUAGAAUGUUACCAAUAACUUCAGAGAACUGGGAUCAAAUCAAUAUCUUCAUUGAAAAAUGUAUUUAAUAAGGUGAAAAAAUUGGAAGACACCAUACUAAUUGCUCAAAAUAAAACAGAACUUAUUUUCUUAAUCUCCCAUUUUGACAUCUCUGAUUUUAACAAACAUGUGGGAAUGGAAAUGUAUUAUAUUAUAUAGGUGGAUUUAUGGUCCAUUCUUUGUUGAAGGAAGUAAACAAUGAAUGAUACAAUGAACUGAUUAGCGCGUCCGAUGAUUUAAUCAUUAUAGUGGAGGACGAUGGCGGACACAAUGUUAUCUAUUCCUUUUUAUAUGAACAAAAUAGAGGUGGUCUCAAAAUGCCAAGCAGUAUAUUAUAUUUAACCGCGGUUCAUAUUUAUAAUGCCUGAUCAUAUAUGUGAAUGUGAGUUUUCGAUGAAACGGUGGAAAGACAUAAUAAUAUGAAAUGGAUUGUUACUUCCAAGUGCGAUAAUGGCCAUUAUUUUCAAAAUUUGGUCCAUUUAAUUUCAUCAAAAAUGCUCAAUUUAUUUUUUUUAAACUAUGCAAGAGAUUUAAAGAGCCAGAUUCAUUCUUUACGAAAGAGAAAACAGCAUAAAUAUGAUGAUUCUGGCAAAAAGUUAAAAAAAAUACAGACAUUGUAAUUUCUGAUCAUUGUAACAUGGCUAGGUUUCUUAUCUAUAUAAAAGUAAUAAAAUUUAAUUUAUAUCAUUUGUUUUUGUUAGAUUAAUUCAAUUUGAUUAAAAGUUUAGUAAGAUAAUCAUUGAUCAUUAUAAGACUAAAAGAACAAAUGUAUUUGAAUACAUUUUUACAAUAAUAGUAAGUUCCAAAAGAAUGACAAAAUAAUUUUGUAAAUAAUUAAAAAAAACAAAAAAACGAGUGCGUUCUCCAUUUCUUUAGUACUCCCUGCCUUGUACCACAUAUAGCAAAAACUUUGAUUCCUCAUUUAUGAGGUUUAUUUCUCAUGUAUUGCAAAGAUAAUAGAAAUACAAGGUUAGACCAUUAUAUAAUCGGGCUUGCUAGAAUUUUCCAUCUGAUGUAUUCUACCGACUGCCGGCAAGAAAGGCAGAUUUGGACAAAACACGUAACCACUUAUAGUCUAUGACGUCACUAUUGCUAUAAUUUUCAAUUUAAUCUAUGGUACCGAGUGUUGGGUAAGAAAAAAAAGAUUUUGGCAAAACAUGCAACCACUCAUCUAGUAUGAAGUCAAUAUUAAAACUGUGGUGGAAGUCAAACAUCAGUCGUACAUGCGUUAAGUUUCUAUUUAUUUUGUAUUUCUAUUAACCUUGAUGUAUAGCUUCAAUGAGUUACGUGCCUGGAAGGGUAUCAUCAUUUUGUCCACCAAAUUACGUUUUUCUGGUUCAAUUUUAUCACAUUAAUUUUUUUAGUUAUUGUUGAGAGAGUCAAUAGAUGGUCUAACUUCGAAAAGCUCAUCAUACUGGAAAUCUUUUAUGUGUUUUAUAUUUUCCUUAUUCUUGUAAUGAAGAAAACUUCUCAGCUUUACUAAAACCAUUAUAUACUAACCCUGCAUCUCCUUUUAGUUCCUAUUUUGAGCGAAGCAGAUUUAAGAGAUAACAUAGAAGUUUAUCAAGACUUUGAUAAUAUAAUUUAUCCUCAAAUCAUUAAAGGUGAGAUUGAUGAAGAUAUAAAUAAUGAUGAAAAUACAUUAGAACAACCAUUUAAUGAUUCACAUUUUCCUAAAAUCUGUGAAGUGAAGGGUUUAUUUAUAUUGCUGGAUGUGUGGCGAAAUCGUUACAUCAAAAAUUUCCCACUCUGGGCUGUAAUUCUUCCAAGAUCCAGGUUCCUCCAAGCUAAUUUUAAACAAUAAACUUUCGAAAUAUGAGUGCCUGUGUUCUAGCUAAGUCUAAAAACCUUGUCAAGCAAUUGCUUGGACAUUGGAUAGCCAAAUUUUUUUUUAAACAUAACUGUAAUGCUAUUGGGAGCCAAGUUUUCUUCGUUGGUCAAAUCCACAAAGGAUCAAUAUCUGAACUGUUUGACUGUGGAUUAAUCAGUUCUAUUUCAAUAGAGUAUUCGCUUUACGAUACCUACGUUUAAUUAAAUCAUGGGGUAACAAUGCAUAUUAUGAUAUUUUUUUAAAUUCAUGAUCCCUAGUAGAUGUAAUUAUGUUACACUUUUUCACAAUGACCUAUUCUUUAAUGCCGGGAGUGACGAAGUAACACACUCUUUUGUUAGAUUGAACUCUACACAUUUUCCAAGGGGUCUUCAUGUAAUAUCUUUUAUUUGAUGAAGAAUACUCAUGAUAAUUUAUAGCCAUCCUAACAAAUGACAGUUAAUACAAGUAAUUAUAAUAUAUAUGAAUUGAAUAUAUUGUUCUUGGAUGAUGACAA